GACCCAACAAGUGCACAAUCGCACAUCAACAUAGUUCUAUAGAUUGGAUGAGAAACACAAGUUUUAGCUGAUCACAGAUAAUUUCAAUGAGAAACGUAGCUUCUUGUGCCAUCCUUCUAUCCUCAGCUUCUUCUGAGUUCGAAAAGAUAGUUUCAAUUGAAGCUGAAAUAGUAGAAGUCAGGGCUAUAUAAAAGCUGCUAGUUAAUUUUAUAGAUCAUAAUAUGCUAACUUGUAUGAAUAAGAAUAACAGAGAAACGAGACUUGGUUCCUUUAUAGCUAUUCAAUAUUAGGCAUGAAGAGGACGUUAGUUGAAAUAAUUUUCUAUCAGUUCAACAUUCCAAUAAAAUAGGUGUCCAGAAAAAGUUUAAACAGAUCUUUUAAUUGUUUGGCAAAGUUGGCCACACUGCAUGGACACUACACAAUUUAAUACAGUAGCACAUAAAAAAGUAACGCAUAUAUACUUGCCAUGAUAUAUCUAGCUGAGAGUACCCCAUAUAGAUCCUAGCACUUAGCUAGCUAGCUUGUAAAACUGGCAUAACGCAGCAGCAUGGAGGCAAGUUUCUUUAUAUGUGGCAGCUUGAUAAAAAGCCUCAGAGAAUAUCUUGAUAGAAUAACAAAGGUAAUCAGCUAUACAGUUUUUAUCCAUUUUUUUACUUUAAGUGAUAUAACGCUCUACAGUUAGCUCAAGUAACAUGAAGUUUGAACAAAAAAAAUACCGAGUUAAGCAACCAAAAUAAACUAUGUGUCACCACAAAUAAAAAAUGCAAAUCACGCAAAAGAAAAGGACUCUAUUAGGCUCUGCUUGAUGUAUUAACAUUGAACUCUAGCAUAUGUUACUGCAUCACAGGUUACAAAAGCUACAUAAUAAUCCAUCAUUUGUUCUGAACCACAUGCCAGAUUUAGGAUAUAAAAAUAAGAGAUGCAUCACACAGCCAGAAUAAUCCAUCAAAAGCUACUUCCCUGUACUUAGUACUGAUGUUGCCACAACAUGCCUUUUAUGUCUGUGAAGCCAUCCCUGUUGAAAAAACCAUAACAAAACUGCAUUAGUAGCCGCAUUACAGUCAAUAGCAUCACUAGCUGCAAUACAUGAUGAGACAACAGGGAUACAUACAUACCAACAGAAAUACCACACACAUGCUCAUUACAAGACUGAAUAUUUACACUUUGUUACAUUGUGUGGAAAAUCUGCUCUGUGCAGGUAGAAGAACAGAUCAUAGUAUGUGAAAAAAGUGAACCUUUACACAUUGUUUUAACUCAAUAUAUAUAUNCCUGCACGGGCUAGUUUCAUUUUCUAUAGCUGGUAAACUAUACUUGUUUAAAACUUAUCUCCACUUGAACAUCUCACUUUUAAAAUCAGUAUUUAAAAUAAAGAGAUCAUCAAAAUAAUUCCAGACUAAAAACAUUAGUUACGUGUGUGCAUGGUUUUGAACAAUGUUACAACCGGGGGACUUUUGAAUAGGUUCUAUAGUUCUCAUGUUUUUAUAAUUUCCUCAUUUGAUGAUUAAAUGUGAUUGGUUGAUAAUAUAAUUGUCAUAGACUAUAGCUUCAAGUAGGUUGUAAGAUAAUAUAUCAGGCAUUAAAUUCAAGAAAUAAACUUAGUGGAGUUUAUGCACACACAUUUUGCAAGCUAGUCAGACUAACUU
rnacentral:lncRNA from 1 species